UGAGGGUGUAGAUUCUCGCUUUCUCGGAGCUCCUAGAGCUUGGGGAGAAGAAGACGGCGGUCUUGCCGGCUGCUGCUGCCCCCGGUCUGAAAGGAGAAAAGGGUCAUCGCUGGAGGGUUUCAGUGCCAAAAUGCGGGCCAGCCCGGCAAGGUCAGAGGUCUUGGACCGCGGGAGACCAAGGUAAUGAUGAUGACAUGAGAAACCUCAAGUACACACGGCUAUUGAUAUGCAUGAGCCACCAGCGGCCGGCGCCGGGACCGAGUCCGGUCUCGCCUCCAGCAGCGCCACCUCCGCCGCCCUGACGAGGGGGAUCCACUCGCCGCCGUUACCUUCCUCCUCCUCUGCAGCACAGACCGCUCUAACAUCCAGAGGCCGGAGGGAGGACGCUCUCCCGGGGGCCGGGAAGCAGCCUGUCUGAUCCCAGGGAGCGCUGCUCGCGCUCCUCUUCGGGCAGCCCCCGCUGGCGCGGAGAGAUGCCGCGGCGGGGAGCGGGGGCCUUGCGCUUGGAGGCCGGGAGGGGGGGCUGCGCAGUGAGUCGAUGUGUAAUUACACUGACAAUUUGCUCUGUCGUUGUGCAUCUAUGAGGUUUUUUUUGGUUGGUUAGUUGCUUUGGGGGUAGAAGGGGUGUGGAUUUUCAUUUCCUCUUAACUUCACAUUCUGUGUCGUGGUUCGCACCUAUCGUGAUUCGCAGGGCUCCAGAUGGCUGUGACGUAAAGAAGAAAUAUCCUGCAUAGAUUCUUAAGAGCAAGCCGCCUCCACUGACUUUAAAGAGGAAUGCUUAUGAUUCUCUAAUCAUUGCAAUCAGACCUCCAUCCUAUCUCCAGCAUCCCCACCUUCUUUGGGAAGACACACAGGAACACCACUUAAAGCUGCCGUGAUGUAUAUAAGAGGGGCGUAGUGUUACAUAAAUUCCUUUUCGUACUAAAUUUUGACAAAAUUAAUGUAGAGGUAAACAGUACAGCAUGCCAGUACAGUCCAAGCCAUUUUCCCCGGCAGAGCAGCAUCCCUUUUCUCCUAUCCAGGCAACUGAAGGUUAUACUUCUCUUACAUUGAACAUCGAGUAUGCAAAGGGAUAUCUACUACAAAUCCGAAUUCAUAAAUAAGAAAGUGUAUCAAGGAUUCAAAGUCACAGAAAAAAAUAAAACCCACAAAGAGUCAGUGAUUACACAUGGAAACCGUGUGCCGUUAAAGGACAUGUAUUCUGUAGGUAAUAUAUAUAAUACCUUCUGACUUUUAUUAAAUAAACAAACAAGCAAAAAUUACCGUUUCUUGUUGCAAUUGUCACUACCUGUGGUCUGUCUGCGUUGUUUAAACCUGAAAAAUAGGCCCCCAAAAAGCAAAGGAUCAUAAUUUAAACACUUCCAAUGUUUGAUUCUUGUUCCGGAAAGAUAUGUGAAUGGAUAAACCUAUGUGUUUAGAGGGCGCUGAGUAUAUUGACUUUGGGGAUUAUUAGACAAAUCAUUAAAAUGCUUGACCCUAGAUUAAAGGAGGGGAAAAAGCUAGCCACAUUUCCUGCAGAUGAUUUAGGAUGACACAAAAUAGAUAUGAGUGAUAUCCUCCUGUAUCUGCAGGGUUAAAGACGGCUAUCAAUGUUUACAGGAAAUAAUAUGAAUAAUAUAUUUUUUUAAACUGCAUCAUUAUUUCUGGAUAAUUACACUUAAAAAUAAAAGGCUAAAAAUAUUAUUUGGGGCUGCUGAACGGAAGGGGCAAAAACUAUAGAGGCAGAUCUGGGAUUUGUAUAAUAUAAGAUACCUGUUACGUAACGAAGGUUGGAGGCUCCACCUAGCCUUCAGUUCAAAACAUGCAAAACAUAUUAAACCAGCCUUUCCCCGCCAGAUUUCCCAUAUGUUCCUGACCAAUGAUGUCCUGAAACUGGAAUUACCGGGAAGGCAUAGUCUCUAUUUACAGCUCUGCGAGUUUAUCAAGGGCCGCGAGGGUAAAUAAAUACAACGUAAGUUGCUGGUUUUUCAUUGCAUUAUAUUGAUCACAACAGCCUCAGCUAAAAAAAAAAAAAAAAAAUUUCCCCAGGCAGCAACAGUGUUCUUAGAUGCUACGAUGAGGCAGUUUCACCCGUUCAACGGACACGAGUGGACCGCGGUUGUCGAAGGAUGCCAUUGCUUUGAUGGAAAGGAUAGAGGGAUGCAGGGGGUGCACCCCCGGGCCAGGGUGAGCGGGUCGGGCCGCACUUCACUGGCCCUCCCCCAACUCCAUUGAAACUGUCCUGUCCCCGACACUCCCUUGCCAGGUGCGUUCCUGUGCUGAGCAGAGCCAUUUUGACAGGGAUGCAUUUUGGAGAACCCGAGAAGUGAUGGUUGCUUGCUCCGAGUGACCCACUACCUGGGAGGCAGCGGAUGGACUAACUGCUGCGAACAAUCCCUUGAACCCUGACCAGCUGCAAUUUAUUCCUACGACUUCUCUUCUUCCCCCUCCCCCCCUUGGUUUUUUUUUUUUUUUUUUCACUUCCCCCUUUCCUCUCCCCAAUCCCCUGCACUUUGUGGGGAUUUUUUGUUUGUUUUUGUGGUUUGUUAACUGCUAUACUUCAAUCCCGUGAGUGUUUGUUCCUGUGCCUGCACACCUUCCGAGGGUACCCAGGCACUGCAAACCAAAUUCACAGCUCAGCAUCCGCUGGCAGUCUGAUAGAUAAUGAACAUUUCCCGCAACUAAAUACAGCCCCACGACCAACAGGUUUAGCAUCAGACACAUAAAAUCGGCUCACCGGCGUAAGCCGCUGUGUCCACUAAUAAACCCUGCCUUGUUAAUCAAAUGUCCCUCGCCGGGAGCUAGAGGAAGCCGACAGAGCUAUGCCGAGCGACUCGCUCCGACUACCCGGGAAGAGCCGGCCUCAUCGCGGGCUCACAGGCAGGUGGGAAACGUCCAUCUGCUCGGGGUUCAGCUUCCCCAAAUUUUGCAGGGAAUUCAGGAUACCCACAUACAUACACAAACACUGAGGUACUUACAUUUCUUUGCCUUAAUCGGGAAAGAUUUUGCCCCACAUGUAGGGGGUGAAUUGAACCUCUGGCGGCAACAAAGAUUCCCACGGCCAAGCCCCCUCGGAGCAGAAAAAGCUCUUUCAGGUCUCCAGAAAUUCACGUCUUUCCCCUCGCCAUUCCUAUUUAACAGUGCCACGUAGCUCCACGGUGUUGUUCUUGCUCCAACGGCUCAAAUAUAGUUAAAAUCUUCCAUCCGUGAAAAAUGGGAGAGAAACCAAGAAAGUUGCUUGGCUUUGCCAUUAUUUUUUUCUUUUUCCACACUGUUUCCUACGCCCCGGAGUAGAAAGUGAACUGUUGUAUGUGAGGCUCUGCAAGUUUUUUGGAGGGGUUGGCCAAGGUCUAGUCCAGCCCUCUCUGUUAAGAAGGACGUGCUCUGAAAUUUCAACAAAUUUCCCCAACGCUUUUGUUGCUGAUGAACUGAAGCCCCUAUUGUUCAUCCAUUGCCACGGUCUUUUUCAGUUCCUACUAUACGUUAUGCAUUGCCAGAGAUAAUGAAUUUGCACCAAAACUUUUCAUAGUCCCGUUCUGACAGACGGAACAAAUUAGAAAUGUCUUGUGUAAAGAAGAGCAGUGGCUACUUUUUCCGGGAGAAGAAGGGAAGCCCGCAUUUCUUUGGAAACUUUAAAAAAAAAAAAAAAAGAAAAAAAAAAAAAAAAAAAAAGGUCGGAGUUUCCUUAGGUGUUUUCCUCCACUUAACUUCUGAAGAAGAGUUUCAUCUGAGUCUUGAUUUUGGGAAGCACUGGUAUUUCGGUGCAAUUUUUGUCCAACCAAGCAGCUGGCCAACAGCAGGUGAACUUGUAGCGUGACCUCUCGUCACUGGAAGGAGGAUGCCCCAAAGCGCUGCCGGUUCCUUCUGUCCCCUCUCAUCCAUCUGUCGGCGUUUAAAACCAGCAUGAAAACACACGUGAAAGCCCCGGCUAGGUUUUAGGGUGCGGGGGCUGGCGGGAAGGAGUUUGGGUUAGCGCCGGAACGGGAGGUGUGCAGGGAGGGGUGGAGGGAGAGAUGGAGGAGGGAUAGAGGGAGGUGUGCAGGGCGAGGAGGCGGCAUGAUGGCGCGCCCCUGCUCUAGCCCGUCUGGGGGGCGUGUGGGGUGUGCCCGCGGGGGGCCGAUGUCGUGUCGGCCCCCCACUCCGAGUCGGCUACACACGGCUUCUCGCGUGGGCAGUUUUCAAGGAGGGGAGGAGGCUGCGAGGGGUUUGGGGCGGGCGAGAGGAGGGGCCACUCGCAGAAAUUAAUAAAUAUAUACGUACACAUAUAUACACCCUACAGAUGCCUCCACACAGACACACGUAGUGUCUGUGUAUGCAUGUGUAGGUAUCCAUCCAUAUAUAUAUAGACGGAUGGGGGACACACGCCUGUUAUCAUAUACGUAUAUGCAUGUAUAUGACAACAGGCGUGUGUCCCCACGGAGCUUGGCUCCAGGGAGAGGGAAGGCGCUCCACUGUUCCCAGGCGCAGAUUUCCGCGGGGAGAGCCCCGCAGCAGCCCCGAGCAGACGGGCAUCCCCUACCGGUACAGCCGCCAGAGACCUGGAGGACAAAGAGACCUCUGUGAGGAUCCAAGCGCCAGCCCUCAGGGAAUCGAGGGAAUUUAGCAAGAGUCCCUGGCUGCACGUACCAAAAAAAAAAAAAAAAAAAAAAAAUUAUGAGUCGACACCGCCCCCCCGGUCAGAAACACACUCACGUUUCCGGUUCUUGGAGAGGGCAUCUCAUUUUAGUUGAGAUGCUUGAAGGGAGAAGCAGUGCGUGACUAUGCGGCGUGCAGCCCAAGGAACGGCUGUUCACAGAGGUACUCUGGAACAGCUCAUAGAAGGCUGAUAAAAGCAUAUAUAAUGUCAGCAGAAAAGGAGAGAAACUCUGGUGCUAACAGAGAACACUCCUCGCUUCUAAGCCACCGGCUGUAUCUCAUCCUGCCGCCUCGCCGUCUAAAGUUCCCCGGGAUGUGAAAGUUCUCCCAAACGUCACGACACACCGCAGUCUCCAAAAGGAGAGGGGGAAGGGAAAGAGGAGGACAAAACGCUCUAACCUACUGCCCGCUAGCACUGUAUCUGUCGCUCACCGAAUUCUCCCUCACACCGCGUCUCCUCCCGGUGGAGGAAGGGGGCAUCACUGCAAAGCCGUGAGAGCGACUUGGACUUUCAGACCAGACCGGCGGCAGUUGCGACCCGAGAUGAGGGCCACCCUACUCCUCCGGCCGCUCGCCUAGCCUCCCCUCACUUCCUCUGUCCGAGCCCCGUAACCGCGAUGCGCUACGAAGCAGCGCCCGGAUGGACGCUGCACCCUCAGUGGCUCAACGAUCCUCUGUCAUGCAAUGUUUUGGGGAGGGAGGGGGAAAUUUUCUUAUUAUGUUUUUAAAUUGGUUGGAAGCUUCUAUUUUCCACUCGUCUCCUGAUGAAAAGAAGCAGAAAAUAGCGUCCAAAUAAUAACAACAACAACAAUAAUAUAUAUAUAUAUAAGGAACAAAAAAUGGGAAGAAAACAGAUAGAAAAAGGCUGGACGGAGUCGGCGGUGCUGCGGUGAGAUGCGCUUUCUUUUGGGGUCAAGCAUUGGGCUGGGCAGCGCUGCUGCUACUGCCAGAGCUUAUUUCAUGGGAUAGAGCGCGGGCGGAAGCCUGCGCGCCCGCAGGACAGAGCGGAGUACCCACGCGGCUGCGCCCUCGCCCCGCGUCCCCCCAUCCCCGCUUCACGUUCAAGGUUUAGCGGAGAGGUCGCGUCUAUUGACGUCAGCUGAAGGCAUUCUGCACGUCCAUCUACACUUACACACAUUAAAGAAAUUAGGGCAUUAAAAAAAAGAAGAAGAAGAAGAAGAAGAAAAGAAUAUUCAAAUCCCCCUCCCUGCUCGGAGAAGAGAUCGAGGAUUCGAAGCAAUCAUCCCUAUUUUCGGAAGAUCCUAAUUAGCGGAAAUUAGCGGGGCCUCCCCUUUUCUUCCAAAUAUCAUCAUCAUCAACAAAACAAACAUCCCCGAAAUGACUGAUCGGGGCCGGGCUGCGGCGCGUAGAAGAGCCCGUCUGGGCGCGGGCGGCUGCGGUGUGUGAGCCGGGAUCCACCGUUGCGCCAUUCUCCUCCUCUUGCUCCUGUUGGCUCCAGCGUGUGUUACUUUUAAUACUGAUGCAUAUGUAAAGGUAUAUUUGCAUUGUUUUUAAUUUACUGAAAGUUGAAGCCUAUCACUUUUCCUUCGCUCCCUCCUUUCUAUCUCUUUAAAUAUACUUGUCUUUUUUCACCCCCCUCUCCUAUUCCCCCGGUUUUGGUGAGACUCUGCAGUGUACGUGUCUUUUUACCUAGUUGCCUCCAUGCUUCUAUUCUAUAUAAGAUUACAGAUUAUGUACAGUGCUAGUUUUAUAAAUCAAGGUGCACAAGAUGUUUAUUGGACAUUAAAAAGACAGGAGGAUCUUAUUAUCCUGCUCGGUUAUCACACUGCUAGCUGGAAACUGGAAGUUUGAUUAUCUAAUUAACUUUAAAUUAAGAAAACGAAAUUUUAGAAAUCACCAACACACCCCUCCCCUUCCGCCCCGUUUUAAGGUAUAAGGCAAUAUAGAUAAAGCGUGUAAUGGGGACUGCUUAAAUGGAUUUAAAACAUUUCAUUGCUGUUUUACAGCCUAUAAAUGCACUUAUAUCUGCCUUUAUUUCAGGAAUGGUUUAUUUCAAAAUAUUUUUCUUAAAAUGUGCAAAGCCAGGUACGGAGAGCUUUCCCCGAGGGAGACAUUUUGUAAUUUCUGUCAUAGGUACUCAUUAUUAAAUGUAUUACAUAUUGUUUUUAACAAGUACAUAUUUGAAUCCAUGUACCUAAUUAUUUAUAGAAAAAGUGUUAUUUUAGAUUAUUUUUUAAAAUACUGCUUGUAGCCUUACACUUGCUUUAUCUGAAAAUCCAUAGGCCUUGAAUUAUAUGACAAACACUAUUACUACAUUUCAGUUUACCUUAAUGGGUAAUGAUAAGAAAGAAGAGUAGUUUAAAUAUUAAAACCAGAAGAUUACUCUGUUUUUUAUAGUCCACGAGUGUUAUGUUUCUAAAUGAAUAACGUUAUUCCACCAAAAAAGCGCCCGUGCAUAAUAUUUUUUUCUUUUACAAAAGCUCAUGUGCAUGCGUAGAUAAUUACACUAUGAAUGACUUACCUGAAUGGACAUAUCGGGCAAGAGUUAGCCCUCCCCAAAGACUGUUACGCAUGUAUUUUUUAAAUAAAGAGUGGAGUGUCUCUUA